CCUACGGGAUGCAGCAGUGGGGAAUAUUGGACAAUGGGCGAAAGCCUGAUCCAGCCAUGCCGCGUGUGUGAAGAAGGCCUUCGGGUUGUAAAGCACUUUCAGUGGGGAAGAAAGCCUUGGGGCUAAUACCCUCGAGGAAGGACAUCACCCACAGAAGAAGCACCGGCUAACUCCUUGCCAGCAGCCGCGGUAAUACAGAUGGUGCGAGCGUUAAUCGGAAUUACUGGGCGUAAAGCGCGCGUAGGCGGUCUGAUAAGCCGGUUGUGAAAGCCCCGGGCUCAACCUGGGAACGGCAUCCGGAACUGUCAGGCUAGAGUGCAGGAGAGGAAGGUAGAAUUCCCGGUGUAGCGGUGAAAUGCGUAGAGAUCGGGAGGAAUACCAGUGGCGAAGGCGGCCUUCUGGACUGACACUGACGCUGAGGUGCGAAAGCGUGGGUAGCAAACAGGAUUAGAUACCCCGGUAGUC
rnacentral:rRNA from 1 species